UAGUUAGCGUGUUGCCGUUCUCGUGUUGUUGUGCAAAAGUUUGCUCGGUUUGAAUAUUAGAGGUCUCUAUCGGGCACGUGCAUUUACAUAAAUUAUAAAGGCAAACAUGAGCAAAUCAACGGGCAAUGCGCCACCGUUCACAUACGUUCCGCCGCCAUCGGCGCCUCCAUCCUAUCUGGAGGCUAUGGGCGGGGUGAAGCCAGUGGGACCAUAUACGCCACUUGCUGCCCCAGCCACCGUUGGCACAAACAUAUUGACCACAGUGGUGCCAAUUGGACGCACAUCGACACACAUGCUAUGCCCCUCAUGCCACGCAGAGAUUGAGUCUACGACACGUACGGAGCCAGGAAUGAUUGCCUAUCUGUCCGGAUUUGUAAUUGCAUUGCUUGGUUGCUGGCUGGGCUGCUGCUUAAUACCUUGCUGCAUUGAUGACUGCAUGGACGUGCACCACACGUGCCCCAACUGCAAGGCGUAUUUGGGCCGCUAUCGGCGAUAAAUAACUGCCACUGUUGUCAUGUACACGCACAUACGUGACACAGUUAUAGAUAUGGAUGUGAGAGAGGGAUGCGAGCCGACGGGAAUGCAAGCGCUUAACUCUAAUCUCAUGCUAAUCCUUGCUAAAUUGCUCAUGCUCCAUACAUGUAUUUUAUUAGCGAUAACGAUAACGAUUUAAAUUUAUUGGUUUGCUAUUCAUUAUUGUCAAAAUUGGACGAAUUCGCACGUAAAUGCUCAAUAUUCCGAACCACAACGGCAGCUAAUAUUGUAUAUGUUAAUAUUUAUGUAAACAUUUACAGAAAUUUGUCCAAUGAGCUUUUGUUGUUCACCAAAAAUACCAAUUGUACAUGGAAUUAAAGUUCAAAAUUCUUUCAAGAA
rnacentral:misc_RNA from 1 species